rnacentral:lncRNA from 1 species
UAGCUAGGUAGAAGCCCAUACAGGCUCUAGAGUGCCCUGCUCCUUCCUAGACCUGUAGCCUACAGCAGUGCUGGCUCUGCUUCUGCCAUCAACAGCGACAAUCACAGCACAAUUACUUUAUCUGGAAAACACACCCCAUUCAAACAACCCUACAAGAUAUUCAGUGAUCAUUGAGUAUCUGCUGUAUGAAGAAAACUGUAAUUAUCGGCUUUGGACUUUAUUUGGAUGUUCACACAGCCCUAGUCAGACAGUGCUUUGAUAUUUUUUCUCCUGGACUGCCUGG